UUGUAGUCUGCAACUCGACUACAUGAAGCUGGAAUCGCUAGUAAUCGCGGAUCAGAAUGCCGCGGUGAAUACGUUCCCGGGUCUUGUACACACCGCCCGUCACACCAUGAGAGCCGGUAAUACCCGAAGUCCGUAGCCUAACCGCAAGGGGGGCGCGGCCGAAGGUAGGACUGGUAAUUAGGGUGAAGUCGUAACAAGGUAAC
rnacentral:rRNA from 1 species